rnacentral:rRNA from 1 species
CUACGGGCUGCUGCAGUGGGGAAUAUUGGGCAAUGGGCGCAAGCCUGACCCAGCAACGCCGCGUGAGGGAAGAAUGUCUUCGGAUUGUAAACCUCUGUCCUUGGGGACGAAAAAAAUGACGGUACCCAAGGAGGAAGCUCCGGCUAACUACGUGCCAGCAGCCGCGGUAAUACGUAGGGAGCAAGCGUUGUCCGGAAUUAUUGGGCGUAAAGGGUGCGUAGGCGGCGCUGUAAGUCAGAUGUGAAAUCCCCGGGCUUAACUCGGGAGUUGCAUUUGAAACUACAGUGCUUGAGUAAAGAAGGGGUAAGUGGAAUUCCUAGUGUAGCGGUGGAAUGCGUAGAUAUUAGGAGGAACACCAGUGGCGAAGGCGACUUACUGGUCUUUUACUGACGCUGAGGCACGAAAGCGUGGGGAGCAAACAGGAUUAGAUACCCGGGUAGUC